rnacentral:lncRNA from 1 species
GUGGUGAAGCUUGUAUAUGUAGCAUCGUAGUGAAGGGUAUCCUUCUUUUAUUGAAUUGUCAGACUAAACAGGGUCAUGCAUGAUUACACACAUUUUUUUCUCAUAUUUUACUUUUUUUUCUUUCCUGUUUGGCGACUUCAUUUGGUUUAAGGUGCUUCAUAUUGACACUUUGUUCAUUGUUGCUUAUUAAUACCAUGUUUGGUGUAACU